rnacentral:rRNA from 1 species
UCAGGACGAACGCUGGCGGCGUGCUUAACACAUGCAAGUCGAACGAGGUUAUAGGAGAGCUUGCUCGAAUAUAACCGAGUGGCGGACGGGUGAGUAACGCGUGAACAAUCUGUCUCAUACAGGGGAAUAACGCAUCGAAAGAUGUGCUAAUACCGCAUAGGACCACGGUAUCGCAUGGUACUGAGGUGAAAGGAGCAAUCCGGUAUGAGGUGAGUUCGCGUCUGAUUAGAUAGUUGGUGAGGUAACGGCCCACCCAAGUCAACGAUCAGUAGCCGACCUGAGAGGGUGAUCGGCCACAUUGGGACUGAGACACGGCCCAGACUCCUACGGGAGGCAGCAGUGGGGAAUAUUGGGCAAUGGGCGAAAGCCCUGACCCAGCAACGCCGCGUGAAGGAAGAAGGUUUUCGGAUCGUAAACUUCUGUCCUUGGUGAAGAGAAGAAGACGGUAGCCAAGGAGGAAGCCCCGGCUAACUACGUGCCAGCCGCUGC